rnacentral:rRNA from 1 species
UAACAGGGCCCAGAGUCAAGAGUCUGUUGUAUGGCCGUCGUGGUGUUUGGUGUUGCCAAGUCGGGUCCCGAUGAUGGUGACAGUGCCCGGAGAAAUGUCUGAACUCAAAUCCGGGUAGGUAAUGCGGAGGGAAAACUGGAAAGGGGAGCGUGGAGAGCGGAGGAGGUCUUGAUUUUUUUUCCCAUUGUCUGUAUGGGCUCACUGACUGACCCUCCCUUUCGUCUGCUCGCCUCAGACGCAGGUGCGCCGCUGGUUCCCUCCAGCUGCCGCCGGACUCCGGGCGCGCACCGAGGAGGUAACCGGGGGCAGUUCCAUUGUCGGUACUUCCAGUUUUAAGAAGUCACCGUACGCCACCGAAGAACCUGUACCCUGCGUGUCCUACUCUGUACACCGUAUACGUCCUACCGAAAACUGCCGACGACGGGACUAACAUUCAAGGGACCACUACUAACGGGUUAGUAAACCCCACGGACGUUGGUACGAAAGGUAGAAGUGACGUAUGAGUUCACCCAGUUAAGAGUUUGUAGUUAGGGGGAAACGGGGUACACAGCAUCCCUCACCGUUAAGUUCCCGAUUCCUGUAGAGUUUGAUACAGUCAUGGUCCUCAAAAGUAUAGAGGAGCAUCCUUUGAUCUUACUUACACAUUGACCUUACAUCAACCCAAUAGAACAUUCACGGGAAAGUAUGAAAGACCUUUAGUCCUACCAGCCAUAGAAAGUUCAUUUCGACACUCUGGAAACUCGGUGUCGAUAACACAGAAACGUUCAACACUGGUAUGUUUAGGUUACUAACUGAAACUUUUCAGUCGUCGGACUCUAACACUGUAAAAAAGAACAAGUCGAAAAAUGGAUGUCUACCGGAGGGUACAUCGUUAAACUAAGACCAACCUAUCAUAUAUGACAUCUAUAUUGUUGAUCGAACAAGACGAUCUGAAUGUAAGUAAAAUUG